rnacentral:lncRNA from 1 species
CAACAGCCACCACCAACCACCGGCGCUGCGCAGCGCCCCCCGUGGCCGGGAGCGGAGCCGCAACCCGGGGCCCGCACAGCGCCCCCCGCGCUCCGGAGCGGGGCGGCAGCUCCGGGCCCCUCGCAGCGCUCCGCCCCAACCUCCCCGGGGCCUGCAGUGCCCCCUGCGGCCGGGAGGGGAAUUGCAGGUUCUGCUCUGGGGGUAGUGGGCGGGUCCGUCAGUACCCCUUAGCACCAUCCCUGGUCCCAGUCUUCCAUCAGGGGGUCCCCUGACCAUGUCUGAGAAGGUUUUAGCUACCCUCCUCAAAUACCAAAGACUUUUAAUGGGGUGGGGUGAUGAAGGGCAAGGUAUCUGGAGGUGAAUGUUUUCAGCUAAGAAGUUAGUGUCCUUAAUACCCCAUUGAUUUCCUAUCCUCAAAAUACAAGCUACCCUCCCUGUCAUCUUUUAGGAAAUGUUCCCUUCAUUGGUCCACAGUACACAAUAUCUUCCUUCUCAUUGGUCAAUGACACGAUAAUGUCCCAUUCUAUAGUACCAGUACUUCAUUGGUUCUUUUCCAGUUAGCCAAUAUACUAUAUUCAUUGGAUGUGAUAAUUCUUUGCAUUGGUUGAAAACCAAUGUGCCUCCAACAUCUUGGUAUUUUGUCUCGAGCUUAUGGCCCUUCUGUCCCUUCCCAGUCUGCCAGUGUUAUUAAGUGUAGGUGUUUCUCAACUAAAGUUUUUGGGAAUUGGAAAGAGACCAGCAGUAAAGGGGUUCUCUUCCCUGAUUCAGUAGCAUUUCAUCUUACCGUGGAAGUAGUGGGGCUGAGGGCCCUAACUCCUAACUGAAUUCAUCUAAUACAUGGUAUAGAAUAUUGAUUUCUUCUGAUUAGAAAGGGAGGCUGUAGAGAAGGGAAGAUGUGGAAAUUUUUGACCAAUUGGUUUUCACAAUGCACUGGGGAACCUCAAUUAUUUAAUAUUGGUAAAUGUCAGACUAGCAUGUUCCAUGAUCUCAUAGAUGAAGAGACUCGAGUAUAUGUGAACCAGAAAAAGGGUCUAGUAAUAAGAUAUGACUAUGGCUCUAAAAGUGGCUUAUUUCAUGAAUUUGCCCUAUAGACAGAGAAGUAGCUGGUUCUUUCUUGAAGUCUUCUGUGCCUAUCCCAUUUUAUCCACUCCAUAACCUUGUCCUACUUUUCUUGUAGCAAAGGCUGGGGUGGGGGACAAGAAAUAUACACUUAAAUAAAAAUCAUCUAGGAAACUCAUUCUAGAACUAUCCCUAUAGAGCACCAAGAAAACAUUCUUUCCCCGUUCUUGUAACUUCCAUCUCCACAGUCAACCUCAGGCCUGAGAAUGUUUUUUGGGGGCUGAGACGCCACUUAAAGCACAUACCAUAAAUUGUAGUUCAUAGGAGGAAAACAAGGGUGAAUGCAUACAGGACCUUUUUGCCUUGCAGCUUUUCUAUCAAAAUUAACUAAAACAAAAACAAGACAAAAAGGAAAAAAAAAAAAAGGGGGGGGGACUGCAGUUGUAGCUCAGUGGUGGAGCGCUUGCCUAGCAUGUGCGAGGCACUGGGUUCGAUUCUCAGCACCACAUAAAAACAAAUAAAUAAAGGUAUUGUGUCCAUCUACAACUAAAAAAAAAUUUUUUUUUUUUAAUUAACUGCUGGGGCUGGGGUUGUGGCUCAGCGGUCGAGCUCUCACCUAGCAUAUGUGACACCCUGGGUUUGAUCCUCAGCACUACAUAAAAAUAAAUAAAUAAAAUAAAGGUACUGUGUUCAACUUCAAC